rnacentral:rRNA from 1 species
AGUGAACGCUGGCGGUAGGCCUAAUACAUGCAAGUCGAACGAACAGACAGUAAGAGUUUGCUCUUACGGGUGGCGAGUGGCGGGCGGGUGAGGAAUACAUCGGAUUCUUAUUUUUCGUGGGGGACUACGUAAAGCAGCUUAUGCUACUACAGCAUAUGUUCUACGGGUGAAAGCAGUAGAUCAUCGCACCUUUGGCGUUUGAUUUAGCCGAUGUCGGAUUAGCUAGUUUGGAGGGUAAAGGCACACCAAGGCGACGAUGCGUAGCCGGUCUGAGAGGAUGGUCGGCCACACUGGAACUGAGACACGGUCCAGACUCCUAAGGGAGGCAGGAGUAGGGAAUAUUCGGCAAUGGGCGAAAGCCUGACGCAGCCACGCCGCGUGGGUGAAGAAGGUCUUCGGGUUGUAAAACCCUUUUAUUAGGGAAGAAAAAAUGUGUGAGUAACUACCGCUGUUCUGACGGUACCCAAAGAAUAAGCACCGGCUAACUUCGUG